CGUCUACUCCCUAUUCUUGUCUUAGAUUUGUCUAAAUACACAUGUAUCAAGUCAUGUUUUAGUAUUAGAUACAUCCGUAUCUAGGCAAAUCUAAGACAAGAAUUUUGGGACGGAGGGAGUAGAUG
rnacentral:pre_miRNA from 1 species